GAUGAACGCUGGCGGCGUGCCUAAUACAUGCAAGUCGAGCGAACAGACGAGGAGCUUGCUCCUCUGACGUUAGCGGCGGACGGGUGAGUAACACGUGGAUAACCUACCUAUAAGACUGGGAUAAAUUCGGGAAACCGGAGCUAAUACCGGAUAAUAUAUUGAACCGCAUGGUUCAAUAGUGAAAGACGGUUUUGCUGUCACUUAUAGAUGGAUCCGCGCCGCAUUAGCUAGUUGGUAAGGUAACGGCUUACCAAGGCAACGAUGCGUAGCCGACCUGAGAGAGUGAUCUGCCACACUGGAACUGAGACACGGUCCAGACUCCUACGGGAGGCAGCAGUAGGGAAUCUUCCGCAAUGGGCGAAAGCCUGACGGAGCAACGCCGCGUGAGUGAUGAAGGUCUUCGGAUCGUAAAACUCUGUUAUUAGGGAAGAACAAAUGUGUAAGUAACUAUGCACGUCUUGACGGUACCUAAUCAGAAAGCCACGGCUAACUACGUG
rnacentral:rRNA from 1 species